GAAAGCGUGGGGAGCGAACAGGAUUAGAUACCCUGGUAGUCCACGCCGUAAACGAUGCUAACUCGUUUUUGGGUUUUCGGAUUCAGAGACUAAGCGAAAGUGAUAAGUUAGCCACGUGGGGAGUACGUUCGCAAGAAUGAAACUCAAAGGAAUUGACGGGGGCCCGCACAAGCGGUGGAUUAUGUGGUUUAAUUGGAUGAUACGCGAGGAACCUUACCAAGGCUUAAAUGGGAAUUGACAGGUUUAGAAAUAGACUUUUCUUCGGACAAUUUUCAAGGUGCUGCAUGGUUGUCGUCAGCUCGUGCCGUGAGGUGUUAGGUUAAGUCCUGCAACGAGCGCAACCCCUGUCACUAGUUGCCAUCAUUCAGUUGGGGACUCUAGUGAGACUGCCUACGCAAGU
rnacentral:rRNA from 1 species